rnacentral:rRNA from 1 species
UUUUACAAUGAAGAGUUUGAUCCUGGCUCAGGAUGAACGCUAGCUACAGGCUUAACACAUGCAAGUCGAGGGGCAGCAUGAUUGAAGCUUGCUUCAAUUGAUGGCGACCGGCGCACGGGUGAGUAACACGUAUCCAACCUUCCGUACACUCAGGGAUAGCCUUUCGAAAGAAAGAUUAAUACCUGAUGGUAUCUUAAGCACACAUGUAAUUAAGAUUAAAGAUUUAUUGGUGUACGAUGGGGAUGCGUUCCAUUAGGUAGUAGGCGGGGUAACGGCCCACCUAGCCUACGAUGGAUAGGGGUUCUGAGAGGAAGGUCCCCCACAUUGGAACUGAGACACGGUCCAA